UGCAGAAUCAUUUCAGCUUCUCACCCCAACUGUGUAGGAUCUAAGAUGAGCACACAGCACCUAUUAUAAUUUAACUACAGAGACUUCUAAAAGCAGGUCGGGAUCAAAAGAGUAACUCUUCCAUCACUCCCUGAGGUGCUAAAGGCGGGUUGCCAGACACUCAAAGUAGAAAAGCAAAAUAAAUAGCAUUCAUCUUGUUUCAGAAGGAAAUAAGGCUGGGUGGAUGAGGCUGUCGGUAGAUUUAAUUUCUCUAGGGCUUUUCUCUUUCUAUGGCUUAAAAGAACUUUAGAAGGAAAUUACCAGGCUUGGGGUCAAGAUGAGGGGAAGAGUUGAUCCUUGAAAGCAGUUAUUUCAAGGAGAAAGAGAAGGAAGAGAGGAAAUGCCAAGCGGCAGCUCGAUGGGGCAGAGAGGAGCUUCUGUGGUCCUGCCAGGUGAGUGGCCAUUCCUUUGGAAAUCUCUUGUUGCCUCACUUCAUCUGGAUCAUUCAAACAAAUAUUUACUGAGAAUCAGACACUGAGCUGUAUUUUUACCUAAUAAUUAUUAUUUACUGAUCUCUAGGAACAGAUAAUAGACUCUUUUUGUGGCACUGGGGAUUGAACCCAGGGCCUUGUACAUGCGAGGCAAGCAUUUUAUCAACGGAGCUAUAUCCCCAGCCUUUAGACUGUUGAUUAGUAAUUGUUGAACAAUAAAUUUAAAACAAUUAAGUAUAAAAGUAGCAGAAGUUCAAUAUCGCUGAUGUUUUACCUUAAUUAUCUGAGUUUAGUUAGUAAACUAACUUCCCCUUCUCUCAUCUCCAUCCAGAAUCUUCCUUAAGUAAGAUGCAAAGAGCAGGAAAUAAAAUGCCCCAAACAGCCCCAAGGGGCAAGAAUGAAGUGAUUGCAGGGUAAUCUACUGCUACAUCCAUAUUUAUCCUCACAUUGCUAAAGAACUGCUCUGGGCUUCCCUGCUAAAGAGUAUAAAAAUGAUAGCCAGACACUUCUUCCUGCCCCACCGUGGCUCCCCUGGCUCAUCUGGAGUCCUGCUUCUUCCCUUGUCUCCUACAAUGCAAUCUCACCUCAUCAACCAGAAUGGCGCUUUUAAAAUGUGAGCUAAAUGUGUAGUGGACUCAAUUGACUAGCUUCCGAAGAAUAAGAGCAUGGAAAGGGGGAAAUAUUUACUCUAAGCUAGGUGCGCUCGUGUGAUUCCAGUUAGCUGGGAGACUGAGGCAGGAGGAUCACAAGUUUGAGGUCAGCUGGGGAGACUUAGUGAGACUUUAUCUCAAAAAAAAAAAAAAAAAAAAAAAAAGAACUGGGUACAUGGAUCCAUUGUAGAGGGUUCCUUGGCCUAAACUCCAGUGCUGAAUUUGGGAGGGCGGGUGACCUUUACAGUAGAGAAAACCAACAGACCCCAUUAUAAUCACAUGAUUCAAGUUAACAUCACUUUGAAAGGUGGAUGUCAUGUGGUCCUCUUGUGAUGUGAUGAGAAGGGCACUUCACUUCUGGGGAUUCUAACCAGAAAUCCACAUAGGGAAAAUAUCAAACAAAUCUAAGCUGAGGAACGCUGUGAAAAAUACCCGAUCAAUACUCCUCAACACUGUCAAGGUAAUGAAAACCAAAGAGAGACUGAAAAACUCGCAGAUCAGAGAGACACAAGGACUAACUGCAAGGUCAUAUCUUGGACCCAAUUUUAGAACAGAUAAAGGACAUAAAUGUAAAAACUGGCAAAAAAAAAAAUUUUAAGUAAGUCUGGAGUGUAUUAAUAGAAAUAUGCCAAUUUUGAUUUUUUAAUUUAGAGACUGUACCACAGUAAUGUAAGACAAUAACAAUAGGAGAAACAACCUGGAUAGGGCAGCCCACUGUUAGAAAUCUCUAUAGUUAAGCUGUAAACUGAUGCGGGGUCCUAUGAGGCCCUGCAUAGCAGGUGAAAAGUUCAGCUACCUGUGCUAUCUUUCCAACUAUUCCAAAAUUUAAAGGUUAUUUUAAAUACAUAUAAAAGAGGGACAACUCCUCCAAUAACCCUGAGCUCUUGCAGGAUAAAUAGCAAAGUCCUCACAGUGGCCUUCAACCCUGUUUAAAGUUGCAGCCUUCAUGGCCCAAACCAUCCCUCUUCUCCACUUCAUUUCUCACCUAACACAUACAUAAGUUAUUUAUUUACUUGUGUAUUAUCUGUCUUCUGGCCCCACUCCACUCCAUACCACAAAGUAAUCUCUAGACAGCAUGAAAUCUUGUCUCUUCUCAUCUCUACAAAGAACAGGAUCUAAGAUAAAGUAGGGCUCAGUGUCUCGAGCCAUCCAUGGGCUGUGUGUGUGAGCUAUGUGCAUUUGAGCAUAUGAGAGGACUAGCCUGCCUUUGCUUGCUCUUUUGGCUGAGCAACACGUGUGCUCUUUCCUCUAGCUCUGCCUGUAUUCCCACACAGCACCUGAAAUGGGUGUGGCUUUCCAAGAUGUCAGUCAAUAUGCUGACCACAAAACAUCACCAAGCAAGACUCAACCCCCCCGAAUUAUUUGGGUGGAACUUCCUCAAAUGUCUUUCCCCUAAAUUAAAACAGGGGUUCAGAGUUUGCUUGCUCUCUUGCUCCUUCCAGUGCUGGAGCUGACCCUUAGGGUCACAGAGCCAAAUUGAGCCGAGCUGUCCUGCCUUAGAAACUUAUGUUUGUGUGCUGCGCAGUUUCUUUACCAUUUCCUUAAUUAUUGAUACAGACAGCCCCUGGGAACCCAGUUUAUAUCGCCAGCCCGGCCAGCUGGUGAUAGCUCGGCAAAUAUUGUUGAAAGAAAAAAAAAUGAAUUAAUGGACCAAUCAACCUUUUCUUCCUGAAAUCCUUAUAACUUGUAAAUCUGAAAAUCACUUUUGACUGUGGUAAGUUCUAAACUAAAAUGACCAAGUGGAGAGAGCAAAUGAAUGACUGAUUAACACAGGGCUAACUUUUUUUCCAGAUUCAUCAGCAGAUAUAUAUAUAUAUAUAUAUAACUCUGUGAAAUUGUCUGGAAGUUAUACAUCCCAGCUUUGUCUGCAAUGACAAAGUAUAGGAAUAAUGCUACUGUUGAUCAGUAGGAAUGAGUUAAAUCAAUCCUGGCAUAUCAAUCCAAAGGAAAAUUAUUAAGCCAUUAAAAAAAGAAGGAAAUUGGAAUGUUUUUUAAAUUUUUAAAUUUUUAACUGUAUAAAUAGCUUACUUAUUUUAAUUAACUAGUUAAUUAAAAUAAAAACUAGUUAAUUAAAUUCAUUAACCUUUAAAAAAUGGAUCUUGGGCUGAGGUUGUGGCUCAGUGGAAGAGAGCUCGCCUAGCACACGUGAGGCACUGGGUUCGAUCCUCAGCACCACAUAAAAAUCAGUAAAUAAAAUAAAAAUAUCUACAACUAAAAAAAAAUUUUUUUAAAUGGAUCUUCUACACAUUAUGCAGUGGUUCCUUUAACAGCUACUUAAAAAUGAAAUGAAACUGAAACCCUGAAAAAGUAUUUUAAUUUUUUCUUUUUUUCUUUUUUGCAAUAAUGGGAAUUGAUUCCAGGGUCUCAUGCAUGCCAGGAAAGCACUCUACCUCUGAGCUAUGUUACCAACUUUUUUUGUUUUAUUUUGAGACAGGGUCUCACUAAAUGUCCCAGGUUGUCCUUGAACUCGUGAUCCUUUCUCGGCCUCAGCCUCCUGAGUCGCUGGUAUUACAAGUGUGGGUCACCUGACCUGAUUUAAUUUUUCUUUUUCAUUUCUUAUUUGAGAUUAUGACUGCA
rnacentral:lncRNA from 1 species